rnacentral:rRNA from 1 species
UACGGGGGGGGCAAGCGUUGUUCGGAAUUAUUGGGCGUAAAGAGCUCGUAGGCGGUUUGUCACGUCGGAUGUGAAACCCCGGGGCUUAACUCCGGGCCUGCAUUCGAUACGGGCUGACUAGAGUUCGGCAGGGGAGACUGGAAUUCCUGGUGUAGCGGUGAAAUGCGCAGAUAUCAGGAGGAACACCGGUGGCGAAGGCGGGUCUCUGGGCCGAUACUGACGCUGAGGAGCGAAAGCGUGGGGAGCGAACAGG